CGGGUGUAGCUCAGGGGUAGAGCACAACCUUGCCAAGGUUGGGGUCGAGGGUUCGAAUCCCUUCGCCCGCUCCA
rnacentral:tRNA from 4 species